GACAGAGGGUGCAAACGUUGUUCGGAAUUACUGGGCGUAAAGCGCGUGUAGGCGGCUAUGCAAGUCGGAUGUGAAAGCCCUCGGCUCAACCGGGGAAGUGCACCCGAAACUGCAAAGCUAGAGUCUCGGAGAGGAUCGUGGAAUUCUCGGUGUAGAGGUGAAAUUCGUAGAUAUCGAGAGGAACACCGGUGGCGAAGGCGACUACCUGGCCUGUUUCUUGACGCUGAGGCGCGAAAGCUAGGGGAGCAAACGGG
rnacentral:rRNA from 1 species